rnacentral:rRNA from 1 species
CGGCAACAGCUCAAAUUUGAAAUCUGGCACCCGCCCGAGUUGUAAUUUGUAGAAGAUGCUUCGGGUGUGGCUCCGGUCUAAGUUCCUUGGAACAGGACGUCAUAGAGGGUGAGAAUCCCGUAUGUGACUGGCUGCCUUCGCCUAUGUGAAGCUCUUUCGAC